rnacentral:rRNA from 1 species
AAUGAACGCUGGCGGCAUGCCUAACACAUGCAAGUCGAACGAAGGCUUCGGCCUUAGUGGCGCACGGGUGCGUAACGCGUGGGAAUCUGCCCUUGGGUUCGGAAUAACAGUUAGAAAUGACUGCUAAUACCGGAUGAUGUCGUAAGACCAAAGAUUUAUCGCCCAAGGAUGAGCCCGCGUAGGAUUAGCUAGUUGGUGAGGUAAAGGCUCACCAAGGCGACGAUCCUUAGCUGGUCUGAGAGGAUGAUCAGCCACACUGGGACUGAGACACGGCCCAGACUCCUACGGGAGGCAGCAGUGGGGAAUAUUGGACAAUGGGCGAAAGCCUGAUCCAGCAAUGCCGCGUGAGUGAUGAAGGCCCUAGGGUUGUAAAGCUCUUUCACCGGUGAAGAUAAUGACGGUAACCGGAGAAGAAGCCCCGGCUAACUUCGUGCCAGCCGCCGCGGUAACAC